rnacentral:siRNA from 1 species
CUCGACGUCAAUAUCUUCGUCGAU